GAUGAACGCUGGCGGCGUGCCUAACACAUGCAAGUCGAACGGACUUCUGAUGAAACCUAGUGAUUCGGAAGUUAGUGGCGGACGGGUGAGUAACGCGUGGGUAACCUGCCCUAUACCGGGGGAUAACAGCUGGAAACAGCUGCUAAUACCGCAUGAGACCACAGUGCCGCAUGGUACAGGGGUCAAAGAUUUAUUGCUGAGAGGUGGGCUCGCGUCCGAUUAGAUAGUUGGUGAGGUAACGGCUCACCAAGUCGACGAUCGGUAGCCGACCUGAGAGGGUGAUCGGCCACAUUGGGACUGAGACACGGCCCAAACUCCUACGGGAGGCAGCAGUGGGGAAUAUUGGGCAAUGGGCGAAAGCCUGACCCAGCAACGCCGCGUGAAGGAAGAAGGUCUUCGGAUCGUAAACUUCUGUCCUAAGUGAAGAGAAGAAGACGGUAGCUUAGGAGGAAGCCCCGGCUAACUACGUG
rnacentral:rRNA from 1 species